UACGUAGGGUGCAAGCGUUAAUCGGAAUUACUGGGCGUAAAGCGUGCGCAGGCGGUUGUGCAAGACAGUUGUGAAAUCCCCGGGCUCAACCUGGGAACUGCAUCUGUGACUGCAUCGCUGGAGUGCGGCAGAGGGGGAUGGAAUUCCGCGUGUAGCAGUGAAAUGCGUAGAUAUGCGGAGGAACACCGAUGGCGAAGGCAAUCCCCUGGGCCUGCACUGACGCUCAUGCACGAAAGCGUGGGGAGCCAACAGG
rnacentral:rRNA from 1 species